rnacentral:rRNA from 1 species
GAUGAACGCUGGCGGCGUGCCUAAUACAUGCAAGUCGAGCGAACGGACGAGAAGCUUGCUUCUCUGAUGUUAGCGGCGGACGGGUGAGUAACACGUGGAUAACCUACCUAUAAGACUGGGAUAACUUCGGGAAACCGGAGCUAAUACCGGAUGAUAUUUUGAACCGCAUGGUUCAAAAGUGAAAGACGGUCUUGCUGUCACUUAUAGAUGGAUCCGCGCUGCAUUAGCUAGUUGGUAAGGUAACGGCUUACCAAGGCAACGAUGCAUAGCCGACCUGAGAGGGUGAUCGGCCACACUGGAACCGAGACACGGUCCAGACUCCUACGGGAGGCAGCAGUAGGGAAUCUUCCGCAAUGGGCGAAAGCCUGACGGAGCAACGCCGCGUGAGUGAUGAAGGUCUUCGGAUCGUAAAACUCUGUUAUUAGGGAAGAACAUAUGUGUAAGUAACUGUGCACAUCUUGACGGUACCUAAUCAGAAAGCCACGGCUAACUACGU